AGUGAACGCUGGCGGUAGGCCUAACACAUGCAAGUCGAACGGCAGCACAGUAAGAGCUUGCUCUUACGGGUGGCGAGUGGCGGACGGGUGAGGAAUACAUCGGAAUCUACUUUUUCGUGGGGGAUAACGUAGGGAAACUUACGCUAAUACCGCAUACGACCUACGGGUGAAAGCAGGGGAUCUUCGGACCUUGCGCGAUUGAAUGAGCCGAUGUCGGAUUAGCUAGUUGGCGGGGUAAAGGCCCACCAAGGCGACGAUCCGUAGCUGGUCUGAGAGGAUGAUCAGCCACACUGGAACUGAGACGCGGUCCAGACUCCUACGGGAGGCAGCAGUGGGGAAUAUUGGACAAUGGGCGCGAGCCUGGUCCAGCCAUACCGCGUGGGUGAAGAAGGCCUUCGGGUUGUGAAGCCCUUUUGUUGGGAAAGAAAAGCAGCAGGUUAAUACCCCGCUGUUCUGACGGUACCCAAAGAAUAAGCACCGGCUAACUUCGUG
rnacentral:rRNA from 1 species